rnacentral:rRNA from 1 species
GAUGAACGCUGGCGGCGUGCCUAAUACAUGCAAGUCGAGCGAACAGACGAGGAGCUUGCUCCUCUGACGUUAGCGGCGGACGGGUGAGUAACACGUGGAUAACCUACCUAUAAGACUGGGAUAAUUUCGGGAAACCGGCGCUAAUACCGGAUAAUAUAUUGAACCGCAUGGUUCAAUAGUGAAAGACGGUUUUGCUGUCACUUAUAGAUGGAUCUGCGCCGCAUUAGCUAGUUGGUAAGGUAACAGCUUACCAAGGCAACGAUGCGUAGCCGACCUGAGAGAUGGGUCGGCCACACGGGAACGGAGACAGGGUCCAGACGCCUAAGGGAGGCAGCAGUAGGGAAUCGUCCGCAAUGGUCGAAAGCAUGACGGAGCAACGCCGCGUGAGUGAUGACGGUCUUCGGAGCGUAAAACUCUGUUAUUAGGUAAGAACAAAUGUGGAAGUAGCUAUGCACGUCUUGACGGUACCUAAUCAGAAAGCCACGGCUAACUACGUG